AAGUGAUGCACCGAAGCUUAGGGUGUGCAGCAAUGCACGCGGUAGCGGAGCGUUCCGUAAGCCUGUGAAGCGAUCUGGUAAUGGGUCGUGGAGGUAUCGGAAGUGCGAAUGCAGACAUGAGUAGCGAUAAAGAGGGUGAGAUGCCCUCUCGCCGAAAGACCAAGGGUUCCUGCGCAAGGCUAAUCCGCGCAGGGUGAGCCGG
rnacentral:rRNA from 13 species